CGUGCGCCACCUCACCUGCCCGUUUCUCGUCGCCGCCGCCGCCAUGCUUUCUGUCCGCCACCCGCUCGCCACCAUCGUGGACCCGCAGCAGCAGCAGCUCUCGCCCCUGAAGGGGCUCAGCCUGGCGGACAAGGAGAACACGCCCCCGGCCCUCAGCGGGGCCCGCGUGCUGGCCAGCAAGACCGCGAGGAGGAUCUUCCAGGACCCCGCCGAGCCGAAAACUAAGGUACCUGCCCCCAGCGUGGAGGAUGAACCACUGCUGAGAGAAAACCCCCGCCGCUUUGUGAUCUUUCCUAUCGAAUACCAUGAUAUCUGGCAGAUGUAUAAGAAAGCUGAGGCUUCCUUUUGGACAGCUGAGGAGGUGGAUCUUUCCAAGGACAUUCAGCACUGGGAAGGCCUGAAGCCUGAGGAGAGAUAUUUUAUAUCACAUGUUCUGGCUUUCUUUGCAGCGAGUGAUGGCAUAGUAAAUGAAAACUUGGUGGAACGUUUUAGCCAAGAAGUUCAGGUUACAGAGGCCCGCUGUUUCUAUGGCUUCCAAAUUGCCAUGGAAAACAUACACUCUGAAAUGUAUAGUCUCCUCAUUGACACUUACAUUAAAGAUUCCAAAGAAAGGGAGUUUCUCUUCAACGCCAUUGAGACGAUGCCUUGUGUAAAGAAGAAGGCAGACUGGGCCUUGCGUUGGAUUGGGGACAAAGAGGCUACCUAUGGAGAGCGAGUUGUAGCCUUUGCCGCAGUGGAAGGAAUCUUCUUUUCUGGCUCUUUUGCAUCGAUAUUCUGGCUCAAGAAACGAGGACUGAUGCCCGGCCUCACGUUUUCCAAUGAGCUGAUCAGCAGAGAUGAGGGUUUACACUGUGACUUUGCCUGCCUGAUGUUCAAACACUUGGUCCACAAACCUUUGGAGCAGAGAGUAAAAGAAAUAAUUGUCAAUGCUGUUAGGAUAGAACAGGAGUUCCUCACGGAGGCUUUGCCAGUGAAGCUCAUUGGGAUGAAUUGCACUUUAAUGAAGCAGUACAUUGAAUUUGUGGCAGACAGACUCAUGCUGGAGCUGGGUUUUAACAAGGGCCCUGAGCACUGAGACAGGCCAGCCUGGGCACCGUGGGCCACCGAGGAGGACGCCAGGCCUUGGGGAAUCGGGAAAGGUUGCACAGACCAGGGCAGGCCAAGUGGAACCUUGGAGCGUGGAAGGUUCCCCGUGAAUGCUCAUUGAAUGGCUGAAGCAUCCCGUUCAUUCUGAAAUCUGUAAGAGGGGACUCAGCCCGCAUCUCCAGUUAGAGUUGGAACUGGAAAUAGUCAAUAUCAAGCAGAAGGAGAAUGGUUAAAUAAAUUAUGGAGUGUCUAUACCACGGAAUACUAACCAGUCAUUAUAAAUGGUGCCGGGAGACGGGGAAGCAAAGAGCAGAUGAAGCCCAGGGCCCAUGGAGACUGCGCACUGGUGGGGAGACAGAAAACCACCCAGCUAACUGGUGUGCGGUGAGAUGAGAAGCAUGGGAAGUGUUGGAUCGGCCUCACGUUUGCAAAGGAGCACUCUUGUUUCUGUCUGUCAGGUGUCAGUCGGGAUGUGCUGGUGGAAGCAGACUUGCUCAGAGGCUGUGGCGACUGUCCAGUCCAUUAUCCACAGAGCAUCCAGAAUGAUCGUGUAGAAAGCAAAUCCGACGAUGCCACUGUGUGGCUACAGCCCUCGGGGCCCGCGCGCCCCCGAGGUGAGGCCAACCCCUCCUCCUGCAGGAGCCCAGGUACCAACCCUGCCUGACCGGCACUGAGCUUCAGGGCUUCCAACACACGGCCUCUGCUUCCCCGCCUCUGCCUGGGCCGCACCUCUGUCCAGCUUCUGCACUUGCAGGGCUCAACCUCGGGGCUCCUUUCCCCAGACACCUCCUCAGACCCCACGAGGCUGGAAUCGGGGGCCCCUCUGCUCUUGUGGCCUCCAGCAGUACCAGCUCAGAGCGUUCAUCAUACAGAAUCGUACCUGCCUGUCACUUUUCUGACCCCACCCCUGGGUUGUGAGUCCCCUGAGGGUGGGGACAGGGUCUGCUGCCCCCACUGUAUCUUCAGCCAGCUCUGGCAAGGGGCAUGGCACUCUGGAUUCUCUCAGUAAACGUUUAUUGAAUGAAUGAGUGAGUGAGUGAAUGAAUGAGCCAGUGAGUGACUGACCUGGGGGAGGCUGCUGUCUAUGAUACAGUGGCAGGAGAGUCACCCUAGUGGGGACUAAGCGAGGUGCUGAUCGUGGGGCCCAGGCCCCUGAGAGGGUGGUCAGUAUCUGGGGCUCACUUCCUCUCCCCACUUUCUUCCGUCUCCUCUCCCCUGUCCCCUGCUGGCUAACCUGGGAGUGGCUGUGGAUGCUAACUGAAUGUUAUGCCCGUCCUGAGGCCCUGCUCAUCCACAGGGCCGUCUGGAGACCGUCCUGUAAUCAGGAGCCUCAGGCCUUCGGGACUCGGAGGCUGAGCCAAAGUCAGAAUCCUCAGGGCAUGCCGGCUCCUCCUUCUGCAGGUGUGCCCAAGCUCCAGGCCGGCCUGUGCCCCCUUCUGAGGACUCAGAACAGAGGUGGCGGCUGGUGGCCGAGGUGUCUCCUUGGGUUCUUCCGAGGUCAGAGACCAGGCCUCACAUCUACUUGCCAAUGCACGAUUUAUUUCUUUUUCAAUUUUCUUUGGAACCUGUGCUUGUCCAGAUGUUCACAUGAUGUGGUGGGAAACGAGUUGUUUUUGUUUUUGGUGAGGAAGAUGAGCCCUAAGCUCACAUCUGUUGCCAGUCCUCCUCCUUUUGCUGAGGAAGAUUGUCCCUGGGCUAAUGUCUGUGCCAGUCUUCCUCUAUUUUGUAUGUGGGGUUCCUGCCACAGCACGGCUUGAUGAGCGGUGCCGCAGUCCGCACCUGGGAUUCGAACCUGCCAACCCCGGGCCGCCGAAGCAGAGCAUGCAAACUUAACCACUACGCCACUGGGCUGGCCCUGGGAAAUGAGUUUUAUGAAGCUGUUGGCAGAGUACCAUUUGGCAUCCCUGUGGUUCUGGAGAUUUCUGGGGCCUUAGGGCUGUGGCUCCAGCCGCAGACAGCUGCCUGCCUUCUCGCAGCGUUCUGCUUUUGAGCCCGGCAGCUUCCAUGACCCCAAACAUGCGAGUGACCUUAUGAUUCCGGCCCUUCAGUGAUCCCCGACAAACUGUUCCUGCUUGGGGGUGGAAUUCCUAUUUUUAAUAGCCAAGUUGUUGAGAAAUUGUAGGGCUUCUACUUCCUUUUGAACGGAAGACUUCCAGAAGUAUUUAUAUCUUUGCUUCUAUAGAUCCAGGAAGACAUCUUAGCCCAGAGGAGGUCAGCAGUGGAGUGGGAUCGCCUAGGAGACAGCGCCAGUGACAUCAUCACUGCGCACGCAGUUUGAACAGCCCUGGAUUGGUGAGGGAGACAGGAGAUGAGAGCCUGGGCGGAGGCUGCUGUCACUAUCCAGCCAGGAAGCGGCAGGGGCGCGGGGCGCCGGGCCCUGGGGCAGACAGCGUGAAGUUUCCAUCAUGCGGGUGUUGGCCCCCAGGGCUGUGCUCAGCACCUCGAAUCCGCGGCUCAGCAUAUUCCUCUCAGGAGACGUGGGGCAGCUCCCGAAGCAACGGGAGGGGGCCUGUUAUUGUGUUGUGUUGGGGAUCCAGAAGCUGUGGUUUCAUAACUCAGACACGCUGCGUGGUGUCUGAAAGUCAUUUCAUUAAAUGUUGCAUGGAAUCAAAAUAGAAAUUACAUCUUUGGGACAAAGCCCACUGAGCCAGGAGCCAGGCAUUCUGAAUUGGAACUAGAAUAGUCUCAUGGAAGCUGGAGCUGUGGAUCCAAGGCAGCCCUGUCUACACGGCCAGCCUCUCCCUCUCUGCUCACAUCUGAAUCCCCAGAUGUGGCAGGUGGGCCUGGAGCCCAGUCCACUUGCAGGAAUCAGAGGCAGCCGAGGAGGGGAUGGUGACAACAGCCUCCCUUUGUCGCCCUCCUAGACGGCUUUGAGGUGGUUUCAGAAAGAAGUAGGAUGUGCCAGCUCCUCUGCUGUGUUCAAGCUACAAGGCCCCACUGCACUGGGGUUUCUUUAAUUGGCAAGUUUACAUUCUCCAAUGGGGUGGAGUCUUGUGAAAAUGGUAAGAUAAAUUACAGAGAAGUAAAUGAACUACAUAUUU